UACGUAGGUGGCGAGCGUUGUCCGGAUUUACUGGGCGUAAAGGGCGUGCAGGCGGUUUGUUAAGUGCAGGGUGAAAGCUCCCGGCUCAACUGGGAGAGGUCCUUGCAUACUGGCGAACUCGAGGGAGGCAGAGGAAAGUGGAGUUCCCGGUGUAGUGGUGAUAUGCGUAGAUAUCGGGAGGAACACCUGUGGCGAAGGCGGCUUUCUGGGCCUUACCUGACGCUGAGACGCGAAAGCGUGGGGAGCAAACAGG
rnacentral:rRNA from 1 species